GACGGGGCCGCACAAGCGAGGAGCAUGUGGUUUAAUUCGAUGAUACGCGUAGGAACCUUACCUGGGCUCGAACGUAAGAUGACUGUAGGUGAAAGCUUACAUCUCUUCGGAGCAUUUUACGAGGUGCUGCAUGGUUGUCGUCAGCUCGUGCCGUGAGGUGUCGGGUUAAGUCCCAUAACGAGCGCAACCCCUACCUUUAGUUGCCAUCAGGUUAAGCUGGGGACUCUAAAGGAACUGCCUACGCAAGUAGUGAGGAAGGCGGGGAUGACGUCAAAUCAGCACGGCCCUUACGUCCAGGGCUACACACGUGCUACAAUGGCCGAUACAGAGGGCAGCUACCUGGCGACAGGAUGCAAAUCUCCAAAGUCGGUCUCAGUUCGGAUCGGAGUCUGCAACCCGACUCCGUGAAGUUGGAUUCGCUAGUAAUCGCGCAUCAGCCAUGGCGCGGUGAAUACGUUCCCGGGCCUU
rnacentral:rRNA from 1 species